GAACAGACACUUGCAGACUUUCCUGCAUUCUAACCCGUAGGUUCCAAAGGGACAAUCUGUAAGAUCAACAUCCGAAUCAGAAGCAUACGAGUAUUCGGCCAAUAACGCUAACGGAGGCAAUGAAAUAUCAAGGGCGACGAAAGCAGUAUACAAUUUGAACCAACGGUACCCGGAUGGGACGCCGAAGGACAGGAGUCAAAGCCAAGAAGUCGAAGCCAAGAUGCCGAACGGACAUCAUGUCGAAAGGACACGAAGCCGAACGGACACGACGCCGAUAGGAAAUGACGUUGAACGGACAUGAAGUUGAAAUAAUAAAUAGAAAUCCACAUUACUGCCAAAUAUGUCAAGGAAUACUUUUAAAACAAUUGUUAACAAUUCUGUGUGGUUCUAAUGCUUCAUGGGUGACUUCUGUGCAUAUGCAAAUAAUUCUGAAAUUUGGGCCAUAAAAUAAAUUUAGAUAGCGAGUUCACUUAUGAGUGAAAUUUAUUUCUGGCUGUGCAAACUCUAUUCAAUGAGAUUCGUAGAGAUCAGUACGGAGUGGGCACUACUUUAGAAUCAUAGAAAAUGACACCUACACGAGGGCAUUCAGCCUCUUGGCUCUGCAACGUGGAAGAUCCCACUUUCCAGAUUUUGCCCUCCAGCCUUGCAGAUUCGAGGCCGCAGACCUGGCACAAAACACAUGGUCUUACCAGGCAGCAGUGAUCCCUGAUCUCCUAAAUGCUCCUCAGACUUAAACAUCUAUAGCAGGCAGCUAAGUUCACAGGAAAAAUACCAUCAAUUCUUCCCCCACAAAUCAUUCCUGCUCAUUGAAAGGACAAGGGACUUAAUGGGCAGCACAUUGUGCGCCUAGUAGGGCAGUUGUUUCCCAAUUCCAGUGACCCGGCUAUAAUCUUGAACUUUGAUGCAGAGUUGGCAACUUCUCCACGACCGUGUGAAUUUCCCCCUGGUGCUCUGGUAUCGUCCCACAUCCCAACGAUAUAAGAGUUGGUGUGUUAAUUGGCUGCUAUAAAUUGCCCACAGUGCAGAAUAUAGGUGAGUGGUAGAAUUUGUAGAGAAUGUUUCAGAAUGUGUGAAGAGUAGAAGAAGACUGGUGUACGGAUAAAUUAAUGAUUGGUAUAGAAAUAGUGAUGCCUGAUGGUAUGACUCUUGCAUUCAGCCCCUCCUCCAGGC